UACGUAGGGGGCAAGCGUUGUCCGGAUUUAUUGGGCGUAAAGAGCGUGUAGGCGGCCUGAAAGGUCAGCUGUGAAAACUCGAGGCUCAACCUCGAGACGCCGAUGGAAACCAUUUGGCUAGAGUCCGGAAGAGGAGAGUGGAAUUCCUGGUGUAGCGGUGAAAUGCGCAGAUAUCAGGAGGAACACCGGUGGCGAAGGCGGGUCUCUGGGCCGAUACUGACACUGAGAAGCGAAAGCGUGGGGAGCGAACAGG
rnacentral:rRNA from 1 species